CAGCCACCCAGUAGCGCCGGACCAGCCCCUCCCAGCACGCAGCACCUCCCAACACCGAACACCAGAUAUGGAGGAUCUAAGUCAGGAAAAUUGCUUCUGAUUGGUGGUUCACUGGUUCAGUGGGUUUCUCUCUAUGCAUCAAUUCUAGACCACAUGUUUGUAAACAAGAUCUUAAUUUUGUAAACAAGAUCUUGAUUUUGUAAAUUGCUUGUAAAUUGAUUUUGUUGCUUAAUGUAUUUGUUUAGUAAGUUUGAUGUUAGUUCAAGUGAGAAUAUGGGUGAUACCAGAUUGCUGAUUUCAAUUGUGUAUUUGUGUUGGUCAAUUUCAAUGUGUAAGACUUUGUGAAAUAGUAUGGUAGUAUUUUUU